GCCCCGGUAGCUCAGAGGUAGAGCUCGUGCAUAUAGUGAGCGAAAGCGCCUAGCAAUAACUGCCAGGAGGUCGCAGGAUCGAUGCCUGGCCGGUGGCU